rnacentral:misc_RNA from 1 species
UUUCCGUAGGUGAACCUGCGGAAGGAUCAUUAUCGUACAAAAUGUGAGGGGCAUGCGAGGACUGUCGCUGAACCAAAAAUCGUGCACGCCCGAGUGUGUCCUCUUGCAUAAUAAUCCAUCUCACCCUUUGUGCAUCACCGCGGGGGCACCCUUCGGGAUCAUCUCGGAGGGGGGCUCGCGUUUUCACACAAACCCCCCUUUUAAAGGUGUAGAAUGACCACAUUUAUGCAAUCAAUACAACUUUCAACAACGGAUCUCUUGGCUCUC